GCAACGAGCGCAACCUUAUCCUGUGUUACCAGCGUCGAAAGACGGGGACUCACAGGAGACUGCCGCCGACAAGGCGGAGGAAGGCGGGGAUGACGUCAAGUCAUCAUGCCCUUAUGUCCUGGGCUACACACGUACUACAAUGGGUGCGAACAGAGGGCAGCAAUCCCGCGAGGGGGAGCCAAUCCCACAAAAGCACUCUCAGUUCGGAUCGCAGGCUGCAACCCGCCUGCGUGAAGUCGGAAUCGCUAGUAAUCGCAGAUCAGCAGGCUCGCGGUCGAAUACGUUCCGGGCCUU
rnacentral:rRNA from 1 species